UACAGAGGGGGCAAGCGUUGUUCGGAAUUACUGGGCGUAAAGGGCGCGUAGGCGGCCUUCUAAGUCGGAUGUGAAAUCCCCAGGCUCAACUUGGGAACUGCAUCCGAUACUGGAUGGCUUGAAUUCGGGAGAGGGAUGCAGAAUUCCAGGUGUAGCGGUGAAAUGCGUAGAUAUCUGGAGGAAUACCGGUGGCGAAGGCGGCAUCCUGGACCGACAUUGACGCUGAGGAGCGAAAGCUAGGGGAGCAAACGGG
rnacentral:rRNA from 1 species